CCUGGCUCAGGACGAACGCUGGCGGCGUGCUUAACACAUGCAAGUCGAACGGAGAUUCAGCAAUGGAUCUUAGUGGCGAACGGGUGAGUAACGCGUAGGCAAUCUGCCUUCUAGAUGGGGACAACAUCCCGAAAGGGGUGCUAAUACCGAAUGUUGUACCGUUUCCGCAUGGAGAUGAUACUAAAGGUGGCCUCUGAAUAUGCUACCGCUAGAAGAUGAGCCUGCGUCUGAUUAGCUAGUUGGAGGGGUAACGGCCCACCAAGGCUUCGAUCAGUAGCCGGUCUGAGAGGAUGAACGGCCACACUGGGACUGAGACACGGCCCAGACUCCUACGGGAGGCAGCAGUGGGGAAUCUUCCGCAAUGGACGAAAGUCUGACGGAGCAACGCCGCGUGAGUGAAGAAGGUUUUCGGAUCGUAAAGCUCUUUCGUUAGGGACGAACGUGCUCUUUGUGAAUAAUGAGGAGUAAUGACGGU
rnacentral:rRNA from 1 species